UCCUUGUGGCAGGUAUACUGUUCCAGUGACCUGGGAUCUCUGUAGUGGUCGGUACUGUAUUGAUUAUAAAUGGUGAAGUCCUAGUAUCUUGCUAGAGUGAGCUGGCCAGGAUGGUGGAGCUCUACCACCAUUUCACAGGUUAUAGACAGGGGCCACCAGGUUUCAGGAAAGCAGCAAUGACCCCUCAGUAAUAGUUGGAAAGUGUGAUAUGACACUGAGCUUCACUGUGUUGGUGAAGAAGAGCUGCAGUUUGCCUCCACCUCUAAAGAAGCACAAUACACCUUUCUGGGUUACCCAUGGGAUACUUCCCAACAGCUUUGUCAUCACAUACAACAUUCGCAAACAAGAUCUUAAUGACAUCCACUUUCUCCAGGAACACAGCCCUUGACCUGUGCGUGUUUGCGUAGAGAAGGCAUGCUAUGUACCCCCUAGGAUAUGAAUCUGCCCACCACUCAAGCCUGGGAAAGCUGGCAGAGGAUGCACGUGUUUUACUCACCUGAGUGUUCACAAUGCUCGUGAGGUGCCUGCCUGAUAGUACAGAGGAAUGAAGAAGGAAUAAACAGACCUUCUGGAUAAUUGCAUCAGCCUUCCCCACUAUUCCAAUGCCAUGCUAACAUUUCAAGUAAUGUCCCUUUUGUCUUGCUGAGAAAAAAUCAUUUCAUGAUUUAUUACACUGGAUUAAAGGCUAUGCACACUC